rnacentral:pre_miRNA from 1 species
AGGGCUUAGCUGCUUGUGAGCAAGGUCUACAGCAAAGUCGUGUUCACAGUGGCUAAGUUCCGC